rnacentral:rRNA from 1 species
AGCUCCAGUAGCGUAUAUUAAAGUUGUUGCAGUUAAAAAGCUCGUAGUUGGAUUUCUGAUGAGCCGCUACGGCCCGCUGUCUUUAUGUGCCUACCGUUCAUUCGGCCGGGUACAUGUAAGCUGGAUCUAUUACUUUGAAAAAAUUAGAGUGUUUAAAGCAGGCUUAUGCUGUGAAUACAUUAGCAUGGAAUAAUAUUUUAGGACUUUGGUUCUAUUUUGUUGGUUUCUAGGACUGAAGUAAUGAUUGAUAGGGAUAGUUGGGGGUGCUAGUAUUCCAUGGCCAGAGGUGAAAUUCUUGGAUUCAUGGAAGACUAACUACUGCGAAAGCAUUCACCAAGGAUGUCUUCU